rnacentral:rRNA from 1 species
UACGUAGGUGACAAGCGUUGUCCGGAUUUACUGGGCGUAAAGAGCGCGCAGGCGGUCGUUCAAGUCGAGUGUGAAAGCCCCGGCUCCAACUGGGGAGGGUCACUCGAUACUGAUCGACUCGAAGGCAGGAGAGGGUAGUGGAAUUCCCGGUGUAGUGGUGAAAUGCGCAGAGUAUCAGGAGGAACACCGAUGGCGAAGGCAGGUCUCUGGGCAUUAACUGACGCUGAGGAGCGAAAGCAUGGGGAGCGAACAGGAUUAGACUACC